UGGGGAAUAUUGGACAAUGGGCGAAAGCCUGAUCCAGCCAUGCCGCGUGUGUGAAGAAGGUCUUCGGAUUGUAAAGCACUUUAAGUUGGGAGGAAGGGCAGUAAGCGAAUACCUUGCUGUUUUGACGUUACCGACAGAAUAAGCACCGGCUAACUCUGUGCCAGCAGCCGCGGUAAUACAGAGGGUGCAAGCGUUAAUCGGAAUUACUGGGCGUAAAGCGCGCGUAGGUGGUUCGUUAAGUUGAAUGUGAAAGCCCCGGGCUCAACCUGUGAACUGCAUCCAAAACUGGCGAGCUAGAGUAGGGCAGAUGGUGGUGGAAUUUCCUGUGUAGCGGUGAAAUGCGUAGAUAUAGGAAGGAACACCAGUGGCGAAGGCGACCACCUGGGCUCAUACUGACACUGAGGUGCGAAAGCGUGGGGAGCAAACAGG
rnacentral:rRNA from 1 species